GCUUCUUGCUAAUUGUGGGGAGGUGAAAACUUUUUCUCAUAUGCUUUUUUUAAAUGGACUAUUGAGCUAGCUUCUUAUGCUGGUCCAGUUUGCUAUCUCCAGUCCAUACAAUAUCUAGGUGUGAUAUACAGGAUUUGAUGUUUCUAGGGUUACAUUCUUGAUCUUCUUUGGUGAUUGAAUGUGCUUAGAUUUGUGAAAAGUCAAUGAAUUGUUGGUGUUAUAAUAAUAACUCUAAUACUGUAAGGUACUUAAAG
rnacentral:misc_RNA from 1 species